rnacentral:rRNA from 2 species
UUGAUUGGUGCUUGCAUCAUGAUUUACAUUUGAGUGAGUGGCGAACUGGUGAGUAACACGUGGGAAACCUGCCCAGAAGCGGGGGAUAACACCUGGAAACAGAUGCUAAUACCGCAUAACAACUUGGACCGCAUGGUCCGAGUUUGAAAGAUGGCUUCGGCUAUCACUUUUGGAUGGUCCCGCGGCGUAUUAGCUAGAUGGUGGGGUAACGGCUCACCAUGGCAAUGAUACGUAGCCGACCUGAGAGGGUAAUCGGCCACAUUGGGACUGAGACACGGCCCAAACUCCUACGGGAGGCAGCAGUAGGGAAUCUUCCACAAUGGACGAAAGUCUGAUGGAGCAACGCCGCGUGAGUGAAGAAGGGUUUCGGCUCGUAAAACUCUGUUGUUAAAGAAGAACAUAUCUGAGAGUAACUGUUCAGGUAUUGACGGUAUUUAACCAGAAAGCCACGGCUAACUACGUGCCAGCAGCCGCGGUAAUACGUAGGUGGCAAGCGUUGUCCGGAUUUAUUGGGCGUAAAGCGAGCGCAGGCGGUUUUUUAAGUCUGAUGUGAAAGCCUUCGGCUCAACCGAAGAAGUGCAUCGGAAACUGGGAAACUUGAGUGCAGAAGAGGACAGUGGAACUCCAUGUGUAGCGGUGAAAUGCGUAGAUAUAUGGAAGAACACCAGUGGCGAAGGCGGCUGUCUGGUCUGUAACUGACGCUGAGGCUCGAAAGUAUGGGUAGCAAACAGGAUUAGAUACCCUGGUAGUCCAUACCGUAAACGAUGAAUGCUAAGUGUUGGAGGGUUUCCGCCCUUCAGUGCUGCAGCUAACGCAUUAAGCAUUCCGCCUGGGGAGUACGGCCGCAAGGCUGAAACUCAAAGGAAUUGACGGGGGCCCGCACAAGCGGUGGAGCAUGUGGUUUAAUUCGAAGCUACGCGAAGAACCUUACCAGGUCUUGACAUACUAUGCAAAUCUAAGAGAUUAGACGUUCCCUUCGGGGACAUGGAUACAGGUGGUGCAUGGUUGUCGUCAGCUCGUGUCGUGAGAUGUUGGGUUAAGUCCCGCAACGAGCGCAACCCUUAUUAUCAGUUGCCAGCAUUAAGUUGGGCACUCUGGUGAGACUGCCGGUGACAAACCGGAGGAAGGUGGGGAUGACGUCAAAUCAUCAUGCCCCUUAUGACCUGGGCUACACACGUGCUACAAUGGAUGGUACAACGAGUUGCGAACUCGCGAGAGUAAGCUAAUCUCUUAAAGCCAUUCUCAGUUCGGAUUGUAGGCUGCAACUCGCCUACAUGAAGUCGGAAUCGCUAGUAAUCGCGGAUCAGCAUGCCGCGGUGAAUACGUUCCCGGGCCUUGUACACACCGCCCGUCACACCAUGAGAGUUUGUAACACCCAAAGUCGG